AGAGUUUGAUCAUGGCUCAGGAUGAACGCUAGCGGCAGGCUUAAUACAUGCAAGUCGAGGGGUAACAUGGGUAGCAAUACCUGAUGACGACCGGCAAACGGGUGCGGAACACGUACGCAACCUUCCCAUAACUGGUGAAUAGCCCUCCGAAAGGAGGAUUAAUACACCGUAACAUAACGAAGUGGCAUCACUUUGUUAUUAUAGGCUUCGGCCGGUUUUGGAUGGGCGUGCGCCUGAUUAGGUAGUUGGCGGGGUAACGGCCCACCAAGCCUGCGAUCAGUAACUGGUGUGAGAGCACGACCAGUCACACGGGCACUGAGACACGGGCCCGACUCCUACGGGAGGCAGCAGUAAGGAAUAUUGGUCAAUGGACGAAAGUCUGAACCAGCCAUGCCGCGUGAAGGAUGAAGGCCCUCUGGGUUGUAAACUUCUUUUAUAGGGGACGAAAAAAGCUCAUUCUUGAGCACUUGACGGUACCCUAGGAAUAAGCACCGGCUAACUCCGUGCCAGCAGCCGCGGUAAUACGGAGGGUGCAAGCGUUAUCCGGAUUUACUGGGUUUAAAGGGUGCGUAGGUGGGCAGUUAAGUCAGUGGUGAAAUCUCCGAGCUUAACUCGGAAACUGCCAUUGAUACUAUCUGUCUUGAAUAUCCUGGAGGUGAGCGGAAUAUGUCAUGUAGCGGUGAAAUGCUUAGAUAUGACAUAGAACACCAAUCGCGAAGGCAGCUCACUACGGGGUCAUUGACACUGAGGCACGGAAGCGUGGGGAUCAAACAGGAUUAGAUACCCUGGUAGUCCACGCCCUAAACGAUGGAUACUCGACAUCAGCGAUACACUGUUGGUGUCUGAGCGAAAGCAUUAAGUAUCCCACCUGGGAAGUACGAUCGCAAGAUUGAAACUCAAAGGAAUUGACGG
rnacentral:rRNA from 1 species